AAUAUUGGACAAUGGGCGAAAGCCUGAUCCAGCCAUGCCGCGUGUGUGAAGAAGGUCUUCGGGUUGUAAAGCACUUUAAGUUGGGAGGAAGGGUUGUAGGUUAAUACCCUGCAAUUUUGACGUUACCAACAGAAUAAGCACCGGCGAAUUUCGUGCCAGCAGCCGCGGUAAUACGAAGGGUGCAAGCGUUAAUCGGAAUUACUGGGCGUAAAGCGGGCGGAAGUGGGUCGUUAAGUUGGGAGUGAAAGCCCCGGGCUUAACCCGGGAAUUGCUUUCAAAACUGACGAGCUAGAGUACGGUAGAGGGUAGUGGAAUUUCCUGUGUAGCGGUGAAAUGCGUAGAUAUAGGAAGGAACAACAGUGGCGAAAGCGACUACCUGGACUGAUAAUGAAACUGAAGUGCGAAAGCGUGGGGAGCAAACAGG
rnacentral:rRNA from 1 species